UACGUAGGGUGCAAGCGUUGUCCGGAAUUAUUGGGCGUAAAGAGCUCGUAGGCGGUCUGUCACGUCGGCUGUGAAAACCCGAGGCUCAACCUCGGGCCUGCAGUCGAUACGGGCAAACUAGAGUACGUGCAGGGGAGACUGGGAAUUCCUGGUGAUAGCGGUGAAAUGCGCAGAUAUCAGGAGGAACACCGAGUGGCGAAGGCAGCCCCCUGGGCUAACACUGACGGCUCAGGCACGGAAAAGCGUGGGGAGCAAACAGGGAUUAA
rnacentral:rRNA from 1 species